rnacentral:lncRNA from 1 species
AUGCACUCUAUUCUUUCUUAUUCUCCCCCACUCCCCCUCCUCCUCCUCCUUCUUUUAAAAAUCAGCCCUGGUACAGAGGCAUCAAACUCUUGCUUCUGUGUUUUGUCCUCAACACCUGAACAGUUUUUCCAACAUGUGCUACAUUUGUACAUUUUAUCUUUUCUUUCUUAUUACCUUUCCUCUUUCCUAGUCCUAUACUACUUGGCUGAACGUUCCAACUUCAGUUUUUAUUUGUUGCCAAUGCCUACUGCAAUGGAUAAGCCAAAUUGUCUGUGCUUUUCAGAUCUCAGGAGAUGGGGAUUGUAGCAGUAUCUGAUUGCUUUAUCCUUGUAUUUUUAAAAAUAUAUUAUGCAGUGUUCUCCCCUACUCUUCCAAGAUUCCUCUGAGUAUAUAUAUUCAUUUAUCUUAUGUCAGUUUUACACUGACAAAGGUCAUGCUCAUAAUGAAAAAACGUAGUGCCACAAGUACCUCUGUGAAUUACAGGUUCAUAUCCAAUGUUCUGCCUCUAGAUUCCUAAAAUUGAGAAAGAAGAGGGUCUCCAAAAUUUAUUUCUUUAAUUUUUACGCCACAGGUAGGAAAUGCUACUUCGAAGGUAAUGAAAAUGAUAAUAAAUAUACCCAACUUUGGCAUUCAGAGCAGUUUGAGCCCCUUCAAAAACAAACUCCUCAGAAGUUGUAGACUUACUCAGGCUUUUCUGCAUUUGCUCAAAAUAUUUCUAAAAUUGUUUGUAGGAUUUAACACACAUUUUUUGGACCAUCUUCUGCAGUAGCCAAUCUUUAUCCUUUAAUACUGAAUUUCAUUUUUGGUGAUACCAAAAGCUAUUCAGAGUCUAAUAAAAAGAUAGAGAAGUUGGGUUAAAAAAAUGGGAAUGUGUGCAAGGAAACAGAUAUCCUUAUGUGGUUGAUAAAUUGUUCUUAAACAAAAUUCUAGCAGAGGAGUUCCAAAUGUUCCAGGUUUCCUGUACUUUGGAAGAAACUAAAAGUAGUUCUUUCCAAAAAGAUUGAGAGCAUCUUCACUAAAAGUAUAAAUGAUAAAGAAUUGUUCAACUGUAUUCUUUUCUUUUUCUUUUAUUUCUUUAACAGGAAUCAUUUUUAAUCUAAAGACAUUAUAUUAAAGUGGAGGGAUUUUGUCAGUGAGUGUCAUCUGGGUGUCACCAGAGCCCAUGAAAAUCACCUACAGAGUUGCCUACAUUACUUAUAAAAUGACUGUUAAUUUCUCUAACUUUUAUAUAUUUCCCAUCCUUCUUUGCAUUGGCUUAUUUUUGAAAGAGAGUGUGUUCAGUCAGAAAUAAUAAACAUUCAGGAGUAAAUCUUAUAAUCUACAUGACAUUGAGUUAAAUUUAAGCAAGUCACUUAACCAUUCAACUGAAAUUUACCCAAAUAUAAAAAUGGAAUAGUAAUACUUGAUUUACAGACAGGUUUUAGAUUAAUGAGACAGCAUAUAAGAAGGUGAAUGGCAAAAUUGAAAGGAAAUCGAUGCUCAAUAAUUCUCUUCCCGCCCACCUUGGUCACCAUUGAACAUUUUACAUACCAAUUCAAUAUCUCCUCUAGAAUACAGAAAUAGGUUGGAACCUCUAAGUUCAUGAUGGCUGAACUGCCAGCUUCAAAUUUAUUCUCAAAAUGCCUAUCUUGGGACAAAAAGAAAAGACUGAAAGGGCUUGUUCCUGCUAGCACCUUCUCUGUGUAGAAUAUGGAUGGAUGAUUAUAACGUGAUGGGAAUACAAACUGACCCCCCCAAACUACUGGGCUAGGCUUCAAUCCUUUGAUGUUGGGCAUGGGAUUUAAAAACAAUUUCCCCCAUAUAUAACACUCCUCUGUGGAGGAACUAUCAGGAAAAACAUAAGGCCGCCCCCUUCAGAGGGGCGAUGGGAAGUAAUGACAGCAGUGGAGCAGAAGAAUAAAGGAAUUCUCUUUCCACAUAUGUGCUUUCUUGCUUCUCCCCUGGGUGGCACAUGGGCACACCACACCUCAAGGGAGACACGAGAGACAAUCAAUGAAGCACUGGGGAAAAAAGGGUUUUGAAAAUUUUGAAGAUUCUAUUUUCAGACUACUGAAAAUAUUCAAAGAUUUUGUGGGACAUGAGCAUGCAUAAAUGUGACCCUUUGGCUGAGUCUGAUUUUCCAGGAAUCUAAAAGAGAUCUCUGGAAGGAUCUGGGUCCAGCAGAGGUGAGGAAAGUGGCAUCCACAAAUCUCAGAUAAGGUCCUUCUUUGGUGAUUCUCAGCUUCUGCUUUCAAAUUUCUACAGUUAUUUCAGCUGUUAGGGUGGUUGGGUGGUGGGAGUGGGGGCGUUUAAAUGCUAGUUUAAAUAUGUGUUCAACAUUGAAUUUUGAAGAAGGGAGGAAACGAUAAAUGGGGUGUUGUUUUGGCUGUCCUUGCCACCAUGGUUCUGUCCAUGCUUCCAUAUCCUGAGAUUGUCAACCACACAGCUUGCGUCCUGCAGGACCAAUCAUUAAGCUCUCCAGCAAGAUGGAAAAGAGUGCGUGCAAAAUUGGAAUGGGCUGAAAAGAAAAGAUGGGGCUCAUCAGAAAGAUGAAUACCUACCAUUUGCUUCAACGUGGAUGGAACUGGAAAGUAUUAUGCUAAGUGAAAUAAGUCAAUUGGAGAAAGAUAAUUAUCAUAUAGUUUCACUAAUAUGUGGAAUAUAAGUAACAGUGAAAGGGACUAUAUAAGGGAAAGGAGGAAAACUGAGUGGGGAAAAAUUAGAGAGGAAGACAAACCAUGUGAGAGUCCUAACUCUGGGAAACAAACGAAGAGUUGCAGAAGGGGAGGAGGGGGUGGGGGAUGAUGGGGUAACUGGGUGACAGGCUUUAAGGAGGGCACUUUAUGGGAUGAGCACUGGGUGUUAUACUAUAUGCUGGCAAACUGAAUGUAAUUAAAAUAUUUUAGAAAAAAUAAAAGUUGGGGCUCAAGGAGGGGCCAUGGCAACCUGUAUCUAAUUCCCACUAUAAAAAUGGACAUUCCUUUUUUUUUAAGUCACGAAUGAAAUCUCUGUUCAUUAAAAUCAUAACUAACCUUUUUCACCAGCAGAAGUGAGUACAUAUCUGAGAAAAAAUUCCUAAUACUUUUCUACUGAUAAGAUUCCUGAUAGCUGAUGAACAGUCAAAACAAAAACAUACAACUGCAACUUAGUUAAAAAAAGAAGAAAAAGAAAGAAGGAAGGAAGGAAGGAAGGAAGAAAGAAAGAAAGAAAGAAAGAAAGAAAGAAAGAAAGAAAGAGAAAGAGAACGAAAGAAAGAAAGAAAGAAAGAAAGAAAGAAAGAAAGAAAGAAAGAAAGGAAGGAAGGAAGGAAGGAAGGAAGGAAGGAAGGAAGGAAGGAAGGAAGAAAAGGUCAGGUGGAUGCUACAGGGAACUUACCUUUUAAAAAGAUUUAAGGUAACAAACAAAAAAGGGGAAAUUAACAAAAGACCCCAGAGUGAAUCUGGAAAAUUAGACACUAAUUACCAUUGUCCUAUACACUUAUAAUUGUAAAUAUAAGUAGACAUUUCAAGAGAAAAAUGUGUGUUGGUUCCUUUGCCUGCGAUCACUGGCCUGUAAGGCGCUAACUCCCCAACUUGCUAGUGCCUAUGGAAUGCUGCCUCCAGGAAAUGUGAUUCCAAGCUCGGACUGCGGAGGUGGGGAGUGGGGGGUGCAGAGACAAUCCUUGGGCCCCAAGAUUUUCCUUUCGCGACCUCCAGGUGGUCUCUUGGUCUAGCUUUGUGAUCAAACCUGUAGCAUUGCACACCCUGGGUGUGUGAGCGCUGCUGGUUUACACUGUCGGUGUAGAACUUGGAGGAAUUCUUACUGUUCCUGCAGCCCCCCCGCCCCCCAUAUUCGCAGGUCUUGGCUUUCUCUGACCCUGGCUCACCUGGCUGCUGGCGCGAGAGGAGGGGGUGCAGAGGGACAGACGUAAUAACUGUUGGGCAUGCAAUUUCUCAAACUCAGCACAUAUUUUAGAAGCUUUCUUCCACCUUCACCAUUUUCAAAGUAGCAUUUUAAGGUGACUAGGAUGCAAGUGAAUAGCUCUCAAUGUGCAUUAAGAACUACGUGGGAAACCAACAGGCCGUUUCACGACUAUUUAAUUUCACAGGACUUUUCUUGACGGCUGCUCAGAGUUCUGGGCCAGAUUUUUUUAUUUUCCAAAAAGCCCCACAAAACCAAUGGUACUUUGUUGCCUUUUAAGAUUUUUCUCAGUGAAAUUCCAAUGGCUGUCCAAACUUUCCAAAAAUGUUUGAGAUUCUUUUUGAUUAGAGAUUCAAUUUUUUCCUACUACAACAGUCAGAGACGUCGAUCAUGCGUUAUGUACCCCUCCACCCAAGUGCCAAGGCAAGCCCCUGGGGCCUAUCUCCCCAUGGUCCAUCACAAACCGGUCCAUGUGCCUGUAUCCCCAUCGGUCAUUUAUCUGUGGUGGGUUCCCCAUAUAUACAUGGAGGGGGCGGGAAACAGAGAGAGGGAAAAAGGAUGAGAAAGAGAGAGAGAGACUGAGAUUUACUUGAAGGAAUUGGCUCACAUGGUAGUGGAAGCUGGCAAGUCCAAAGCCCACAGGGUAAAUCAGCAGGCUGGAAACUCAGGCAGAAUUUCUGUAAAGGUCUCAAGCAGAACUCCUCCUUCUCUGAGAAACCUCACAUAUUUGCUCUUAAGGUCUUCAACUGCAUGAAGCUCACCCACAUUUUGAAGGCUAAUCACUUUACUUAAAGUCAAAGUGAUUAUAGAUGUUUAACCAUAUUCACAAAUCCCUGGAACCAAAAAAUCGGGUACCAGAGCCCAGCCAAGUUGACAUAUAGAAUUAACCAUCACGAUGCGCAAGCUACCUCAAGGCCUUCCACGCAUCUUUACCUUGGCUGCUACCUUUAGUAGUUAAGCUGCCAGCUGCCCUCACCUGGACAAAUACAACAGCCUUCUAACUUCUCUAUAUGGGGCUUAUGCUAUGGUACCAAGCAAUCCCCAAUCUCAGUAGCUUACACUGGUAAGGGUUUGUUUCUGGCUCACAUUGCAUAUUGGCUCCUUGAGUGUUCCUU